rnacentral:rRNA from 1 species
CAAUAGCGUAUAUUAAAGUUGUUGCGGUUAAAAAGCUCGUAGUUGGAUUUCGGGGUGGCCUGGCUGGUCCGCCGCAAGGUGAGUACUGGUCAGCCGCCCUUCCUCUCGAAAGCCCCGACUGCUCUUUACUGCAGUGGUCGGGUAGUUCGGGACGUUUACUUUGAAAAAAUUAGAGUGUUCAAGGCAGGCUAUCGCCUGAAUACAUUAGCAUGGAAUAAUGGAAGAGGACCUCGGUCCUAUUUUGUUGGUUUCUAGGGCCGAAGUAAUGAUUAAGAGGGACAGUUGGGGGCAUUCGUAUUUAAUUGUCAGAGGUGAAAUUCUUGGAUUUAUGAAAGACGAACUAGUGCGAAAGCAUUUGCCAAGGAUGUUUUCAUUAA